CCUACGGGUGGCAGCAGUGGGGAAUAUUGCACAAUGGGGGAAACCCUGAUGCAGCGACGCCGCGUGAGCGAAGAAGUAUCUCGGUAUGGAAAGCUCUAUCAGCAGGGAAGCAAAUGACGGUACCUGACUAAGAAGCCCCGGCUAACUACGUGCCAGCAGCCGCGGUAAUACGUAGGGGGCAAGCGUUAUCCGGAUUUACUGGGUGUAAAGGGAGCGCAGGCGGCGCGGUAAGUCUGAUGUGAAAGCCCGGGGCUCAACCCCGGGACUGCAUUGGAAACUGUCGUGCUGGAGUGUCGGAGGGGCAAGGGGAAUUCCUAGUGUAGCGGUGAAAUGCGUAGAUAUUAGGAGGAACACCAGUGGCGAAGGCGGCUUACUGGACUGUAACUGACGUUGAGGCGCGAAGGCGUGGGGAGCAAACAGGAUUAGAUACCCGAGUAGUC
rnacentral:rRNA from 1 species